CCUACGGGUGGCAGCAGUGAGGAAUAUUGGUCAAUGGCCGGAAGGCUGAACCAGCCAUGCCGCGUGAAGGUCAGUGCCCUAUGGGCGUUAAACUUCUUUUGUGCGGGAGCAAUAAUGGUCACGUGUGGCCAGACGCGAGUACCGUACGCAUACGCAUCGGCUAACUCCGUGCCAGCAGCCGCGGUAAUACGGAGGAUGCGAGCGUUAUUCGGAUUUAUUGGGUUUAAAGGGUGCGUAGGCGGACUGGAAAGUCAGCGGUAAAAUCGAGAGGCUCAACCUCUUUCCGCCGUUGAAACUGUCGGUCUUGAGUGGGCGAGAAGUAUGCGGAAUGCGUGGUGGAGCGGUGAAAUGCAUAGAUAUCACGCAGAACUCCGAUUGCGAAGGCAGCAUACCGGCGCCCGACUGACGCUGAGGCACGAAAGCGUGGGUAUCGAACAGGAUUAGAUACCCCAGUAGUC
rnacentral:rRNA from 1 species